GUGGGGAAUAUUGGACAAUGGGCGCAAGCCUGAUCCAGCCAUGCCGCGUGGGUGAAGAAGGCCCUAGGGUUGUAAACCCCUUUCAGCGGGGAAGAUAAUGACGGUACCCGCAGAAGAAGCCCCGGCUAACUCCGUGCCAGCAGCCGCGGUAAUACGGAGGGGGCUAGCGUUGUUCGGAAUUACUGGGCGUAAAGCGCGCGUAGGCGGACCUGCAAGUCGGGGGUGAAAGCCCGAGGCUCAACCUCGGAACUGCCUUCGAUACUGCGGGUCUCGAGUCCGGGAGAGGUGAGUGGAAUUCCUAGUGUAGAGGUGAAAUUCGUAGAUAUUAGGAAGAACACCAGUGGCGAAGGCGGCUCACUGGCCCGGUACUGACGCUGAGGCGCGAAAGCGUGGGGAGCAAACAGGAUUAGAUACCCCGGUAGUCC
rnacentral:rRNA from 1 species